GAUAUCUGGGGGAGUCAAGGUACAGAGAUAUCUGGGGGAGUCAAGGUACAGAGAUAUCUGGGGAAGUCAAGGUACAGAGAUAUCUGGGGGAGUCAAGGUACAGAGAUAUCUGGGGGAGUCAAGGUACAGAGAUAUCUGGGGGAGUCAAGGUACAGAGAUAUCUGGAGGAGUCAAGGUACAGAGAUAUCUGGGGGAGUCAAGGUACAGAGAUAUCUGGGGGAGUCAAGGUACAGAGAUAUCUGGGGAGUCAAGGUACAGAGAUAUCUGGGGAGUCAAGGUACAAAG